rnacentral:tRNA from 1 species
GGAAGGGUGGCAGAGCGGUCUAAUGCACCGGUCUUGAAAACCGGCAGGGCGCAAGCCCUCGUGGGUUCGAAUCCCACCCCUUCCGCCA